AACGAACGCUGGCGGCAUGCCUAACACAUGCAAGUCGAACGAGACCUCCGGGUCUAGUGGCGCACGGGUGCGUAACGCGUGGGAACCUGCCCUUAGGUUCGGAAUACCUCCCCGAAAGGGGUGCUAAUACCGGAUAAUGUCUUCGGACCAAAGAUUUAUCGCCUUUGGAUGGGCCCGCGUUGGAUUAGCUAGUUGGUAGGGUAAAAGCCUACCAAGGCGACGAUCCAUAGCUGGUCUGAGAGGAUGAUCAGCCACACUGGGACUGAGACACGGCCCAGACUCCGACGGGAAGGAGCAGUAGGGAAUACUGGACGAUGGGCGAAAGCGUGAUACAGCAAUGCCGGGGGAGUGAUGAAGGCCGUAGGGUUGUAAAGCUGUUUUAGCCGGGAUGAUAAUGACAGUACCGGGAGAAGAAGCACCGGCUAACUACGUG
rnacentral:rRNA from 1 species